rnacentral:rRNA from 1 species
UGGGGAGUGACAGCCUGGUCGAAAGUAUGGUUUUCUUCGGACACUCUUCAAGGUGCUGCAUGGUUGUCGUCAGCUCGUGCCGUGAGGUGUCGGGUUAAGUCCCAUAACGAGCGCAACCCUUACCGUUAGUUACCAUCAGGUUAAGCUGGGGACUCUAGCGGGACUGCCACCGUAAGGGUGAGAGGAAGUGGGAUGACGUCAAAUCAGUCACGGCCCUUAUGUCCAGGGCUACACACGUGUUACAAUGGCCAGUACAAAGGGCAGCUACCGGGUGACCGGAUGCUAAUCUCCUAAAGCUGGUCUCAGUUCGGAUCGAAGUCUGCAACCCGACUUCGUGAAGCUGGAUUCGCUAGUAAUCGCGCAUCAGCCAUGGCGCGGUGAAUACGUUCCCGGGCCUU